rnacentral:rRNA from 1 species
UACAGAGGGGGCCAGCGUUAUUCGGAAUUAUUGGGCGUAAAGGGCGCGUAGGCGGCCUCGCGUGUCUUCCGUGAAAUCCCUCGGCUCAACUGAGGACGUGCGGAAGAAACUGCGAGGCUCGAGUCCGGGAGAGGCGAGUGGAAUUCCCGGUGUAGCGGUGAAAUGCGCAGAUAUCGGGAGGAACACCAAUUGCGAAGGCAGCUCGCUGGGACGUUACUGACGCUGAGACGCGAAAGCGUGGGGAGCAAACAGG